UACGUAGGGUGCAAGCGUUAAUCGGAAUUACUGGGCGUAAAGCGUGCGCAGGCGGUUGUGCAAGACAGGUGUGAAAUCCCCGGGCUCAACCUGGGAAUUGCAUUUGUGACUGCACGGCUAGAGUGUGUCAGAGGGGGGUAGAAUUCCACGUGUAGCAGUGAAAUGCGUAGAGAUGUGGAGGAACACCGAUGGCGAAGGCAGCCUCCUGGGCCAGCACUGACGCUCAUGCACGAAAGCGUGGGGAGCAAACAGG
rnacentral:rRNA from 1 species